CCAUGAGUAAAGUGGCGUACGGGUGAGUAACACGUGGGUAUCUACCUUUUGGUGUGGAGUAACUCUGGGAAACCGGAGCUAAUACCGCAUAAGUCCGCAAGGGGGAAGUCGCAAGACGCCGAUAGAGGAGCCCGCGGCCGAUUAGCUAGUUGGUAGGGUAAUGGCCUACCAAGGCUACGAUCGGUAGCCGGCCUGAGAGGGCACACGGCCACACUGGCACUGAAACACGGGCCAG
rnacentral:rRNA from 1 species